rfam:Gossypium hirsutum cultivar TM-1 chromosome 20, whole genome shotgun sequence
UGUUAAAAAUUUCAUUUAUUUACACUAUUAAAAACUAGCAUAAUUAACGAAAUAAUCAAAAAGUAACAUGUGGUAUGCCAUGUGUACCUUACACUGAUGUAUAAGGAAUAGUUUUUAACCAUAGAAAUGAAUGAAAAUUUUAACA